GAUGAACGCUGGCGGCGUGCUUAACACAUGCCAGUCGAACGGAAAGGCCCAAGCUUGCUUGGGUACUCGAGUGGCGAACGGGUGAGUAACACGUGGGUGAUCUGCCCUGCACUUCGGGAUAAGCCUGGGAAGCUGGGUCUAAUACCGGAUAGGACGAUGGUUUGGAUGCCAUUGUGGAAAGUUUUUUCGGUGUGGGAUGGGCUCGCGGCCUAUCAGCUUGUUGGUGGGGUAAUGGCCUACCAAGGCGUCGACGGGUAGCCGGCCUGAGAGGGUGUACGGCCACAUUGGGACUGAGAUACGGCCCAGACUCCUACGGGAGGCAGCAGUGGGGAAUAUUGCACAAUGGGCGCAAGCCUGAUGCAGCGACGCCGCGUGGGGGAUGACGGCCUUCGGGUUGUAAACUCCUUUCGCUAGGGACGAAGCGUUUUUGUGACGGUACCUGGAGAAGAAGCACCGGCUAACUACGUG
rnacentral:rRNA from 1 species